AGCGAACGCUGGCGGCAGGCUUAACACAUGCAAGUCGAGCGGGCGUAGCAAUACGUCAGCGGCAGACGGGUGAGUAACGCGUGGGAACGUACCUUUUGGUUCGGAACAACACAGGGAAACUUGUGCUAAUACCGGAUAAGCCCUUACGGGGAAAGAUUUAUCGCCGAAAGAUCGGCCCGCGUCUGAUUAGCUAGUUGGUGAGGUAACGGCUCACCAAGGCGACGAUCAGUAGCUGGUCUGAGAGGAUGAUCAGCCACAUUGGGACUGAGACACGGCCCAAACUCCUACGGGAGGCAGCAGUGGGGAAUAUUGGACAAUGGGGGCAACCCUGAUCCAGUCAUGCCGCGUGAGUGAUGAAGGCCCUAGGGUUGUAAAGCUCUUUUGUGCGGGAAGAUAAUGACGGUACCGCAAGAAUAAGCCCCGGCUAACUUCGUG
rnacentral:rRNA from 1 species